GACGAACGCUGGCGGCGUGCCUAACACAUGCAAGUCGAACGAGAAUCGAUGGAUUGAGACUUCGGUUGAUUGAAGUUGAGGAAAGUGGCGAACGGGUGAGUAACGCGUGAGAAACCUGCCUUUCAGUGGGGGACAACAGUUGGAAACGACUGCUAAUACCGCAUAAUGUAUCGGAUGGGCAUCCAUCUGAUACCAAAGCUUUAUGUGCUGAAAGAUGGUCUCGCGUCUGAUUAGCUUGUUGGCGGGGUAACGGCCCACCAAGGCGACGAUCAGUAGCCGGUCUGAGAGGAUGAACGGCCACAUUGGGACUGAGAUACGGCCCAGACUCCUACGGGAGGCAGCAGUGGGGAAUAUUGGGCAAUGGGGGAAACCCUGACCCAGCAACGCCGCGUGAAGGAAGAAGG
rnacentral:rRNA from 1 species